GAUGAAGAACGCAGCGAAAUGCGAUAAGUAGUGUGAAUUGCAGAAUUCAGUGAAUCAUCGAAUCUUUGAACGCACAUUGCGCCCCUUGGUAUCCCGAGGGGCAUGCCUGUUCGAGCGUCAUUUCACCACUCAAGCCUGGCUUGGUGUUGGGCGACGUCCUCUUUGGGGACGCGCCUCGAAACGCUCGGCGGCGUGGCACCGGCUUUAAGCGUAGCAGAAUCUUUCGCUUUGGAAGUCGGGGCCCCGUCUGCCGGAAGACCUGCUCGCAAGGUUGACCUCGGAUCAGGUAGGAAUACCCGCUGAACUUAAGCAUAUCAAUAAGCGGAGGA
rnacentral:misc_RNA from 1 species